GGGUUGUGAGGUUAAGCGACUAAGCGUACACGGUGGAUGCCCUGGCAGUCAGAGGCGAUGAAGGACGUGCUAAUCUGCGAUAAGCGUCGGUGAGGUGAUAUGAACCGUUAUAACCGGCGAUUUCCGAAUGGGGAAACCCAGUGUGUUUCGACACACUAUCAUUAACUGAAUCCAUAGGUUAAUGAGGCGAACCGGGGGAACUGAAACAUCUAAGUACCCCGAGGAAAAGAAAUCAACCGAGAUUCCCCCAGUAGCGGCGAGCGAACGGGGAGGAGCCCAGAGCCUGAAUCAGUGUGUGUGUUAGUGGAAGCGUCUGGAAAGGCGCGCGAUACAGGGUGACAGCCCCGUACACAAAAAUGCACAUGCUGUGAGCUCGAUGAGUAGGGCGGGACACGUGGUAUCCUGUCUGAAUAUGGGGGGACCAUCCUCCAAGGCUAAAUACUCCUGACUGACCGAUAGUGAACCAGUACCGUGAGGGAAAGGCGAAAAGAACCCCGGCGAGGGGAGUGAAAAAGAACCUGAAACCGUGUACGUACAAGCAGUGGGAGCCUCUUUUAUGGGGUGACUGCGUACCUUUUGUAUAAUGGGUCAGCGACUUAUAUUCUGUAGCAAGGUUAACCGAAUAGGGGAGCCGAAGGGAAACCGAGUCUUAACUGGGCGUUAAGUUGCAGGGUAUAGACCCGAAACCCGGUGAUCUAGCCAUGGGCAGGUUGAAGGUUGGGUAACACUAACUGGAGGACCGAACCGACUAAUGUUGAAAAAUUAGCGGAUGACUUGUGGCUGGGGGUGAAAGGCCAAUCAAACCGGGAGAUAGCUGGUUCUCCCCGAAAGCUAUUUAGGUAGCGCCUCGUGAAUUCAUCUCCGGGGGUAGAGCACUGUUUCGGCAAGGGGGUCAUCCCGACUUACCAACCCGAUGCAAACUGCGAAUACCGGAGAAUGUUAUCACGGGAGACACACGGCGGGUGCUAACGUCCGUCGUGAAGAGGGAAACAACCCAGACCGCCAGCUAAGGUCCCAAAGUCAUGGUUAAGUGGGAAACGAUGUGGGAAGGCCCAGACAGCCAGGAUGUUGGCUUAGAAGCAGCCAUCAUUUAAAGAAAGCGUAAUAGCUCACUGGUCGAGUCGGCCUGCGCGGAAGAUGUAACGGGGCUAAACCAUGCACCGAAGCUGCGGCAGCGACACUAUGUGUUGUUGGGUAGGGGAGCGUUCUGUAAGCCUGUGAAGGUGGCCUGUGAGGGUUGCUGGAGGUAUCAGAAGUGCGAAUGCUGACAUAAGUAACGAUAAAGCGGGUGAAAAGCCCGCUCGCCGGAAGACCAAGGGUUCCUGUCCAACGUUAAUCGGGGCAGGGUGAGUCGACCCCUAAGGCGAGGCCGAAAGGCGUAGUCGAUGGGAAACAGGUUAAUAUUCCUGUACUUGGUGUUACUGCGAAGGGGGGACGGAGAAGGCUAUGUUGGCCGGGCGACGGUUGUCCCGGUUUAAGCGUGUAGGCUGGUUUUCCAGGCAAAUCCGGAAAAUCAAGGCUGAGGCGUGAUGACGAGGCACUACGGUGCUGAAGCGACAAAUGCCCUGCUUCCAGGAAAAGCCUCUAAGCAUCAGGUAACAUUAAAUCGUACCCCAAACCGACACAGGUGGUCAGGUAGAGAAUACCAAGGCGCUUGAGAGAACUCGGGUGAAGGAACUAGGCAAAAUGGUGCCGUAACUUCGGGAGAAGGCACGCUGAUAUGUAGGUGAAGCGACUUGCUCGUGGAGCUGAAAUCAGUCGAAGAUACCAGCUGGCUGCAACUGUUUAUUAAAAACACAGCACUGUGCAAACACGAAAGUGGACGUAUACGGUGUGACGCCUGCCCGGUGCCGGAAGGUUAAUUGAUGGGGUUAGCGGCAACGCGAAGCUCUUGAUCGAAGCCCCGGUAAACGGCGGCCGUAACUAUAACGGUCCUAAGGUAGCGAAAUUCCUUGUCGGGUAAGUUCCGACCUGCACGAAUGGCGUAAUGAUGGCCAGGCUGUCUCCACCCGAGACUCAGUGAAAUUGAACUCGCUGUGAAGAUGCAGUGUACCCGCGGCAAGACGGAAAGACCCCGUGAACCUUUACUAUAGCUUGACACUGAACAUUGAGCCUUGAUGUGUAGGAUAGGUGGGAGGCUUUGAAGUGUGGACGCCAGUCUGCAUGGAGCCGACCUUGAAAUACCACCCUUUAAUGUUUGAUGUUCUAACGUGGGCCCGUAAUCCGGGUUGCGGACAGUGUCUGGUGGGUAGUUUGACUGGGGCGGUCUCCUCCUAAAGAGUAACGGAGGAGCACGAAGGUUGGCUAAUCCUGGUCGGACAUCAGGAGGUUAGUGCAAUGGCAUAAGCCAGCUUGACUGCGAGCGUGACGGCGCGAGCAGGUGCGAAAGCAGGUCAUAGUGAUCCGGUGGUUCUGAAUGGAAGGGCCAUCGCUCAACGGAUAAAAGGUACUCCGGGGAUAACAGGCUGAUACCGCCCAAGAGUUCAUAUCGACGGCGGUGUUUGGCACCUCGAUGUCGGCUCAUCACAUCCUGGGGCUGAAGUAGGUCCCAAGGGUAUGGCUGUUCGCCAUUUAAAGUGGUACGCGAGCUGGGUUUAGAACGUCGUGAGACAGUUCGGUCCCUAUCUGCCGUGGGCGCUGGAGAACUGAGGGGGGCUGCUCCUAGUACGAGAGGACCGGAGUGGACGCAUCACUGGUGUUCGGGUUGUCAUGCCAAUGGCACUGCCCGGUAGCUAAAUACGGAAGAGAUAAGUGCUGAAAGCAUCUAAGCACGAAACUUGCCCCGAGAUGAGUUCUCCCUGACCCUUUAAGGGUCCUGAAGGAACGUUGAAGACGACGACGUUGAUAGGCCGGGUGUGUAAGCGCAGCGAUGCGUUGAGCUAACCGGUACUAAUGAACCGUGAGGCUUAACCUUACAACGCCGAAG
rnacentral:rRNA from 1 species